CAUUCUAAAGUAAAACAUAUUGUGUAAUUUUCUCAUGCACAACUUAAUUUUAACAGUCCACAAAACUAGCACUUUACUUUUCCGUUUUAUAAAACACUUCCAGUCUCACAUAACAUUCAAAGUGCACUUUACGAAGGUACAGGGGGAAUUUGAAGGCAUAUACACUCUGACUUCUUUCCAUUCUUGAAUAAUUGCGUUCCGUGAUGAGACAAACGCGAUUUUCACACAAGAACCAACCUAAACGACAACAUGUUUACGACCAAAGCCAGUAUCACGACCACACAUGACACACAAAAACAUUAUUUUAAAUAAACCGUCAAUGUUGUCAACCGUUUUACAAAACUGCGCAUGCUAAUUGUGCUUUAUGCCUUAUAUGGGUUGACAUUGUUGACAGUCCAGGGUGAGCACAUAGCGCGAAAUUUAAAUCAUGUUUCCUCUUUCUCUAUACAAGCGACACCCCCAUGCUGCACCUCACGUGGUACAAAAAUGUGAAAAAUGUUUGAUUUAACCUUAAACUUUUGUGUAAUUUUUCAUAGGUGGUAAACCUGUUUGAAUCAACUUCAUACCGGUCUAGUAUUCAUAUUGAAAAGUUUUCAAUAUUGAAAAGCACUUAUCAAUGGGUGCACGGUUUUGGUUUGGUGUUGUGGGACAUCGAAUAUGGAAGGAGAGGACUCACUAAGUACAGAGACUCAUGGGUUUGAGUUUCGAGCCAUUUUCCUUGAAGAAUGUACAAAUAACGAAGAAUAUUUCGAUAAAGAUGAUGAUAUACGUCGAAGAAUUUACUUUCUACUUUCCGAUUGUACAAAUUUAUCACUAAAGUGUGUUACAUUAAUAAAAGAAUUUAUUUCAUACGUUGAUAAUAUAAUAAUAACAAUGGAAAGAGAUCCUCUUGAUCUGAUAAGCAUACUGAUGAGUAAAUCUGAAAAAAUCACAGAGGAAUACAAGUGUACGAAUCUAUCACCAGUUUUAUUCAAGAAGCAGUGUCCCACAUUAUUCAAAGAACUUGUACUUGAGGCUAAUUGUAGCAAGAAAACAAACAUUAAAUCAAAAGUUACUGUAACUGCUUAUGAAGAAAUAAAAAAUAAGAAUAUUGGAAAGCAACACAUAAUGUAUACAACACAGCCAGGUUCAAUAAGCGAUUCAUCAAGCUCAGCUGAUCUAGAAGAUGAUGAUGAUUCUAAUUCCAAUUCAUCUCUCACUCGUAAGUGAAAGAGAAAAACAUGUCAAAAAGCAGGGGACUUUGAGCUGGUAGGACAUGAAGACAACUGUCAAUUUAACAAUACUGUGAAAUGUCAAGUGGAAAUAUUGAUAUUAGUUGGGGAUAGAUCUUACUGUGAAACAUUGGCCAAGCACCUUGGACUGAUUUGGUUUGAAGGUCUGUUGAAAGGAGAGGAAGACAUUGAACGUCGUUUGCAAAAUUGUGAUAAUAAAAUUUAUAGACUAGCUCACACAGAAAUUAUUAAGAAAAUGAUGAAUGGCUACAGCAGCAUCUGCAUCACCACAUCAACAUCAGCUUGGAAGUACAUACCAGCAUGUACGAAAGGAAUUAUUUACACAAAAAACAAUAAAUCUAAUUUGUAUGAAUUAUUCCAGAAGGACGCAAAUUACUGUGUUUUUGUCGAAGAUAGUAUUCAAGCUUAUGUAGAUGCUGUUAGUAAAAUUGUUCAAAAGUCAUUGUUAUGCAAUAUUUUACUGGAAGUAAAUUAUCAAAUAGAUGAAAAAGCUUAUACUAAAAUCCAUUUACCUAUAACGGUUUUAAUACCCUUUUACAUUGUUAAGUAUUUCGCACAAAGCUUCAUUGUGACACAUGGAACUUGCACAAAUUUUAAUAUUUUAGAUAUAUUUGAGUCUAGAGGUAAUGUCUAAGGCUCCAUGUAUUGAUUCUUUGUAAAUGCAUACUAAUAGUUUUCAAAAUUAUUGUGUUUUUAUGUUUACUUUGUAACCUAAAUUACUGAUGAUAUCAAA